rnacentral:misc_RNA from 1 species
GGCGUGUAUCUCGCAGCAAUUUUGAUUCCUACUAAAACAGAUUAUCACCAUUGUCACCACCCGUACUCUGGAAGAUCUGUAGCUUUGUUUUCGGGGUAAUCUGCAUUUCAGUCAUGUAAUUGUAUCUGGUGUCAAUAGCCUUUUUGCUUGAUACAUGCAUUCUAAAGGAUGGCAAUUGUUCGCCCCAACCGAUCUAUGCAGAUCAAUUUUUUUCGACCUCUCUG